GGAAUAUUGGACAAUGGGCGAAAGCCUGAUCCAGCAAUGCCGCGUGAGUGAUGAAGGCCUUAGGGUUGUAAAGCUCUUUUACCCGGGAUGAUAAUGACAGUACCGGGAGAAUAAGCUCCGGCUAACUCCGAGCCAGCAGCCGCGGUAAUACGAAGGGGGCUAGCGUUGUUCGGAAUUACUGGGCGUAAAGCGCACGUAGGCGGACUUGUCAGUCAGGGGUGAAAUCCCGAGGCUUAACCUCGGAACUGCCUUUGAUACUGCAAGUCUUGAGGAUGAGAGAGGUAAGUGGAACUGCGAGUGUAGAGGUGAAAUUCGUAGAUAUUCGCAAGAACACCAGUGGCGAAGGCGGCUUACUGGCUCAUUUCUGACGCUGAGGUGCGAAAGCGUGGGGAGCAAAC
rnacentral:rRNA from 1 species